AGUUGAGCGGAGAUAUAUGGAGCUUGCUUUAUAUAACUUAGCAGCGAACGGGUGAGUAACACGUAGAUAAUCUAUCCUAUACUGGGGGAUAGCCCGAUGAAAGUUGGAUUAAUACCGCAUAUAGCUAUAUAGUUGCAUGAUUAUGUAGUGAAAGAUUUAUUGGUAUAGGAGGAGUCUGCGGCACAUUAGCUAGUAGGUGAGGUAAAGGCUUACCUAGGCGACGAUGUGUAGCCGGUCUGAGAGGAUGAACGGCCACAAUGGAACUGAGACACGGUCCAUACUCCUACGGGAGGCAGCAGUGGGGAAUAUUGCACAAUGGGGGAAACCCUGAUGCAGCAACGCCGCGUGAGUGAAGAAGGUUUUCGGAUUGUAAGGCUCUGUUAGCAGGGAAGAGGAAGGACGGUACCUGCAGAGGAAGCCACGGCUAACUACGUGCCAGCAGCCGCGGUAAUACGUAGGUGGCAAGCGUUGUUCGGAAUAACUGGGCGUAAAGGAUGCGUAGGCGGUUAAACAAGUUAUAUGUUAAAUAUAUAGGCUUAACCUGUAGAAAGCAUAUAAAACUGUUUAACUAGAGUGCAGGAGAGGUAAGUGGAAUUCCUAGUGUAGCGGUGAAAUGCGUAGAGAUUAGGAAGAACACCAGUGGCGAAGGCGACUUACUGGACUGUAACUGACGCUGAGGCAUGAGAGCAUGGGGAGCAAACAGGAUUAGAUACCCUGGUAGUCCAUGCUGUAAACGAUGGGUACUAGGUGUGGGUUGUGAAUAACAAUUCGUGCCGUCGCAAACGCAAUAAGUACCCCGCC
rnacentral:rRNA from 1 species